UGGCGCGGUGAAUACGUUCCCGGACCUUGUACACACCGCCCGUCAAGCCAUGGAAGUCGGGGAGACCUGAAGCCGGAUGUCAAAACUCCGGUAAGGGUAAAACCGGUAACUGGGGCU
rnacentral:rRNA from 1 species